UUUGUCGUCUUCUCUUCCAUUAUAUGAACAUGAUUUUAACAUAAAAUAUGUAAUUCAUACUCAUACUUAUGGGCAUUUAUAAAUAUGUAACAUUUACAUUGUAGGGGGGUAUAACCAUUAGUAAUUAUUUACCAGAAUGAAGCACAAAGAAAAAGAAUAAUGAAACUAGGAGAAAAUGUGGUGGUUUUAGAUGUUACAUAUAAAGGUUUUUCCUGGGCAUGAAAUACCAUUUCCUUGGUGGGUAUGCCAAUAGCAGAGUAGAGGACUUAAUAAUCUUACUCCAUGUAAAUGUAACUAUGUUUUAUGACAAUCUAGAUGAACUCGCAAAUAUUAGUCGCUUGAAAAAUAUGGGAGGACAAAGGGAAGACAAAAGUAAAUUGACAGCAGAGAAUAUGCUCAAGGCAGAACUUGAACAAAUGGUGCAAUGGACUUCAUCCACAGAAUGCACUGUUCCAUCACAGACAGCAUUUGGGACGAUUUAUAAUGUAGACAUUGUCAAUGUAGUGUGCAAUUGUCCAGCUGCAACAAC